ensembl:lncRNA
UUAUGGAGAAAAACCAAUUUAAUUUUGUACAAAUGGGAGCCUCACAUAGGCUGGAGAACAAUAGAUGCGUACAGAGCACCCAAAAUUUGUGGUUUCUAGCAAACAUUUAUUUGGUGCUACCGGGACAGGAUUGUUUUACUUACCUCCCUGCCUGGUUCCUUUGCAAUGGAGAGUCAGUCUGGUCUGCUGUUUAAGAGCAUAUGAUCUCUGGGGCUGGCCCGGUGGCGCACCGGUUAAGUUUGCACGUUCUGCUUCUCGGCAGCCCAGGGUUCGCUGGUUCGGAUCCUGGGUGUGCACGUGGCACCGCUUGGCAAAUGCCAUGCUGUGGUAGGCGUCCCACGCAUAAAGUAGAGGAUGAUGGGCAUGGAUGUUAGCUCAGGGCCAGUCUUCCUCAGAAAAAAGAGGAGGAUUGGCAGUAGUUAGCUCAGGGCUAAUCUUCC